AAGUCGUAACAAGGUCUCCGUAGGUGAACCUGCGGAGGGAUCAUUACUGAGUGAGGGCGCUCGCCGCCCGACCUCCCAACCCUUUGAUUUGAUCAAGACCUCCUUCUGCUCGGGGGCGACCCGGACCUCGCGUCCUCGGUCCCCCGGUGGUCACCAAUAAACUCUGCAUCAAUCGUCGUCUGAGCAUGAAGUAAAUUCAAUUAAAACUUUCAACAACGGAUCUCUUGGUUCUGGCAUCCGAUGAAGAACGCAGCGAAAUGCGAUAAGUAAUGUGAAUUGCAGAAUUCAGUGAAUCAUCGAAUCUUUGAACGCACAUUGCGCCCUUUGGCAUUCCGAAGGGCAUGCCUGUUCGAGCGUCAUUACACCAAUCAAGCCUGGCUUGGUAUUGGGCGACGGGGCCGUAACACGCCCCGCGCCCCAAUGACUCCGGCGAGACGAAUCGAAUCUCAGCGUUGUGGUUAAAGCCGCUGGCGAGACGAGACGCCCGUGCCGUUAAACAGCCCCAUCACAGGUUGACCUCGGAUCAGGUAGGGAUACCGCUGAACUUAA
rnacentral:rRNA from 1 species